rnacentral:misc_RNA from 1 species
AACGCACCUUGCGCUCCUUGGUAUUCCGAGGAGCAUGCCUGUUUGAGUGUCGUGAAAUUCCUCAACCUCCCAAACCUGGUGAGGCUUGGACUUUGGAGUGUGUCGGAACUUGUUACGAGUUCGGCUCCUCUGAAAUGCAUGAGCAAAACCUGUGGUGAAGCUUUGGUUUGAUAAUUCUUAAGCCAUUGCGGUCUGCUCGGAUUUGCUCACGACCGUCUCCCUUUCCGCAGAGAAGGAGAGGCAAAAUUUUAACACUCUGACCUCAAAUCAGGUAGGACUACCCGCUGAACUUAA